CAGACGUCAUCUCGGAAAUCCCUGAG
rnacentral:rRNA from 1 species